rnacentral:rRNA from 1 species
ACCCGCUGGGUGUCUGCCUGAGGCCCGGGUGCGAGCCCGGACCGCGGUUCGCCGCGGCCCGGAGCCCCGGCCUCGCCCGGCAGACCGCCCGGCGGUCUCGAAGUAUCGGAACUGGCCCGCGCUCUCCCGGCGCGCUCGUGCCGCUUGCGAGCGUCCGACGGGUCCCCGGUAGGCGAACCCCGUUCGCCCCGGGUCCGUCGGCGCUGUCGGCUCGCGGACUUCUCGAGCAGACGGCCUCCUUCCGGUCUGCGGCGCUCGCAGUUGGGCGGCCCACCCGACCCGUCUUGAAACACGGACCAAGGAGUCUAACACGCGCGCGAGUCAUUGGGUCCGGCGAAACCCAAGGGCGCAUUGAAAGAGAAGGCGGGCCUUCGUGCCCGCCGAGGGAGGAUGGGGCGGCGCUCGCGUCGCCCCCGCACUCCCGGGGCGUCUCGUCC